GGCGCGGCAUGCCGGGAACAACGAGAGAAAUUCCGCCCAUCGUACCAGGCACCCAACCACUGCUGCCGUCGCCGCCAUCUUGUGUCGCGUUUGAGAUGGCCCCGCCUCCUGGGGGGCGGGACUCGGAGAUUUUGCCCUGACGCGACCCCGACCCGGCACCGGGGUCAGCUCGGGUCCCAGCUGCUCUGUGUUUGGAGUUGAGAAGAAGGGAAGAAAGGAAAGAAAUGGAUGCAGACAAGCAAGAGAAAGGACUUUGCACAAAGAUCAAUUUGAUGGAUUUACCAUAUGCUGCAGAACUGUUUUGUUCUGGAAUUCAGGGAACAUAGAAAAGGGGACACAGGGAUCAGCCAAGGGCUUUUUUGGUUUCCUGUCUCUGAGAGAACUUGAAGCUAAAACUUCCAGCUGCUUGCAUCUAUGUGAGCAAAGUAAGAGUUUGCCUUUUUUUUUUCCCCAUGGAGCCAAAACUACUUGUCCUGGUGUCCUGGUGUCCUGGUGUAGAGAUCCUACCUACUUUGACAUCUACUUUGCCAUUUAACCCUGUUCCUGUGUCCUGAGAGAGCAUCCUGACUACUGUGAAGAUUUCUGAAGCAAGCCAGUAAACUGACUGAGGGGACUGACUGAAGAGGACUGACUGAAGCCAUCUUGGGCCCAACUUGAUGAGGAUUUAAACCCUCUCAUAAAGGGUUCAACUUAACUACUCUGAAGAACUAUAAAUACUUAACCAAACAUUAUUUGGGAGGAUUAGUUGGUCAGGUAGUUAGAUAGCUGGGGAUUUCCAGACAAUGUAGUGAAUAGGCAGCUGGAAUUAAGGGAAGGUGACCCUUUGCAGGGCCCUUAGAAAGAGGGGGAGGAUUACUUAGAAAUUUCUUAGAUUAAGGAUUCCUAUUUCCUAAUCCUCCCAUCCUGUUACAGUGAAUAACAAUAAACCCUGUCUUUGGUUUUUAACCUUAGUCUAAGAGUCAAAUAAACAUUCUGGGCCCCUGAGAGGCAUGUAAGGGCAUAUCCUCACUGUGGGGUAUCAAGUAACCAGCAACCCUUGACAUCAUACUUCUACAUCUUUACCAUCUAUAUUAUUCCCUUAUUUCAGUACUAGCCCUAGAGAUGAUAAGAUAUAGGUCAGUGACUUCAAGGAAAUUACAUGAACAAGGAAAUAGAAGUGUCAAAAUACACUCCCAGCUUCUUGUUCUCCAUGAAAAAUCUCUUGGUUUAAAGCUUUGAUGUCUUCUGACACUUGGAUACUUCUGCUCAGAGAUGUUAAACUUACCUAGCUUUAGACAGCAAGUAUCCUUUAAAACUCCUUAAAAAUAUGCUGAAUCAGAUUAAAAUACAAAUGGGGGAAAGGGGCAGCUCUAUGACAGUGCAUAGAGCAGGCCUGGAACUGACAUGGGCAUUGUACUCCCAGAAACUCAGGAAAACUAUUAUCAGGGAAAUUCCUUUGCUCCUUUACGUCCUCUUGACUCCUGGCCUAAAACAUCCAAUGACCCCUAUAGGACCCUGAGAUGAUUGUCUUCCUUUGAUCCUCCUUUGGAUUCAAGAUGGACAGAGAGAUGCACCUCCAGGCUUCACCUCAAUACUAUCAGGCAAUAUCUCAGACAUCUGCCUGUUCCCUAAAACUAAGGAAUCUUUUAUGAGGGUCAUUCCCUAUGUCUCCAGGCAGACCCAGGUCAGAUAACCAACCCCCUGACCAAAUGCCUGAGGAUUUACCACUCUAGAGUCACAUCUAUACAAUGACACAGCAUCUAUUGUAAAGAGUAUAAAAUCCCCAGAAUUUAUGUCAUCUCGGGGACAGCUUUUCCAUCUAUGCUGUCCUCCCAGGAAAACAGCUUUUCCAUCCAUGCUGUCCUCCCAAGGAGCAGCCUUCCAUCUUGCUGUUCCACCUGUACUAUCCUCCUGGCCAUUCUCAACAUUACUUUCUAAAUUAAUAAAUUUCUCUUUUUAUUUUUAAGCUAAGUUUCAGUCUUGCAUUCUUGCAAAAAGGUAUCCUUCCCAAAUGCAAGGGGUGCACCACUCUUUACCCCUAUAACAGAAUCAGAAGUUCUUGGGUUCAAAUUUGGCCUCAGAUAAUUCCUAGCUGUGUGACCCUAGGCUAGUCACUUAACCUGCAUUGUCUAGCCCUUGCCUCUCUUUAGAAUUGAUACUAAGAAGGUAAGGGUUUGUUGUCAUUUUUUAAUGUAAUUGGGGAAAUGUUUAUCAAAAUUCAAAUGUAGUACAACAUAGAUAAUGUUAAUUUGUGAUUUUCUAUGUCAAUAUGCAAGAGGGAUCCUUUCUAUUUGACUUGGACACUGCUGCUCUUAAUAAAAUCAGUCUUUUAGCAUG